rnacentral:rRNA from 1 species
GACGAAGGGGGCUAGCGUUGUUCGGAAUUACUGGGCGUAAAGCGAGUGUAGGUGGUUGUUCAAGUUGGAUGUGAAAGCCUUGAGCUCAACUCAAGAAAUGCAUUCAGGACUGAGCGACUAGAGGACCGGAGAGGAUAGUGGAAUUCCCAGUGUAGUGGUGAAAUGCGUAGAGAUUGGGAAGAACACCAGUGGCGAAGGCGGCUAUCUGGACGGGUACUGACACUAAGACUCGAAAGCGUGGGGAGCAAACAGG